UACGGAGGGGGCUAGCGUUGUUCGGAAUUACUGGGCGUAAAGCGCACGUAGGCGGCUUUGUAAGUUAGAGGUGAAAGCCCGGGGCUCAACUCCGGAAUUGCCUUUAAGACUGCAUCGCUAGAAUUGUGGAGAGGUAAGUGGAAUUCCGAGUGUAGAGGUGAAAUUCGUAGAUAUCGGGAGGAACACCAGUGGCGAAGGCGGGCACCUGGGCUAACACUGACGCUGAUGCGCGAAAGCGUGGGGAGCGAACAGG
rnacentral:rRNA from 1 species